rnacentral:rRNA from 1 species
CGGAGGAUCCAAGCGUUAUCCGGAUUUAUUGGGUUUAAAGGGUGCGUAGGCGGCUUUUAAGUCAGGGGUGAAGACGGUAGCUCAACUAUCGCAGUGCCCUUGAUACUGAAGAGCUUGAAUGUACUUGAGGUAGGCGGAAUGUGACAAGUAGCGGUGAAAUGCAUAGAUAUGUCACAGAACACCAAUUGCGAAGGCAGCUUACUAAAGUAUGAUUGACGCUGAGGCACGAAAGCGUGGGGAUCAAACAGGAUUAGAUACCCUGGUAGUCCACGCCCUAAACGAUGAACACUCGAUGUUGGCGAUAUACGGUCAGCGUCUAAGCGAAAGCGUUAAGUGUUCCACCUGGGGAGUACGCCCGCAAGGGUG